UGGCGGCCGCUGAAGGAGCAGGGAUGGCGGCCGCUGGAGGAGCUGUUCUGGUUGCCGCUGGAGGAGCUGUGCUGUCUCUGCUCCCCCGCCGUCGCGCGCUACUGAAUGAGACCGCCCCAUUCAGUAGCGCGCGAGGGCGGGGGAGCAGAGACAGCACAGCUCCUCCAGCGGCCGCCAUCCCUGCUCCUCCAGCGGCCACCAUCC